rnacentral:rRNA from 1 species
UACGUAGGGUGCAAGCGUUGUCCGGAAUUAUUGGGCGUAAAGAGCGUGUAGGCGGCCCGAUUAGUCCGCUGUGAAAGUCCAGGGCUCAACCCUGGAAUGCCGGUGGAUACUGUCGGGCUAGAGUCCGGAAGGGGCGAGUGGAAUUCCUGGUGUAGCGGUGAAAUGCGCAGAUAUCGGGAGGAACACCAAUGGCGAAGGCAGCUCGCUGGGACGUGACUGACGCUGAGACGCGAAAGCGUGGGGAGCAAACAGG